CUUAGGGUGCGUUUGGUUCGCAUUAUGAAAGAUUACUAGGAAUAAAAGAUAUCCGAGAAUCUUAUUCCUAUUCAUCCUAUUACUAAGAAUGUGGAAUUCCUGUGUUUGGUUCGCACGGUAAUAUUAAAUAGCCAUAUUAUUUAAUAUUACAAAAAAUAUACAAUUAAUUAAUUAAUUUAUUUAAUUAAUUUUAGAUAAUGUUACCAAAAGUUUCGACAUCUUUUUAGAAAAAAGGAAGAGAGAGUAUAAGUUAGAGAGAGAGAGCAUAAUUAAAAAAAUAGAAAGAAAAAUAUAGUCAAAAUUAGAGGGAGUGGGAGAGUUGAAAUUUUAGAAAGAGAGAGAGAGAGAGAGAAAGUUUAGUUUAGAAAGAGAAAAAAAAGUUGAAUUUUAGAAAGAAAAAUAAGUUUAGAGAGAGAUAUAAGGUUAGAGUGUAAAAAAAAAAUAAUAUCAAUUAGCCGGUGAGUAGGAAGAAAGAAAGAGAUUAGACAUAUUAUGAUUACUCAAAUCCAUUAAUAUGAGGAUACCCACCCUCCUCCAAGGGAAUGAGAUUAGUACUUUGGGGUGAAUCUUAUUCCCAAGUGAAUCCAAUAUUACCAACUGGAUUACUUAGUGCGUUUAGCCAAACACCGUCAUAUUUUUUUAUUCCCAUUGGAUUACUAGGAAUCUUUAAAAGAUAGCGUGAACCAAACGC
rnacentral:lncRNA from 1 species